UCGGGUAUGGUGUAGCGGUAACAUCGCUGACUCUCAACUAUGAGUGCUCAGCAGCCCGGGGUUCGACUCCUUGUAUCCGAG